CCAGGCAAUUUUAGAGAGAAGGUCACACCUGUUCCCAUUCCGAACACAGCAGUUAAGCUUCUCAUCGCCGAUAGUACUGCAACCUGAGUUGUGGGAGUGUAGGACGUUGCCUGGA
rnacentral:rRNA from 1 species